GUUUUGCGCUCUCGGUGUCGGGUCCAUCCUUGCGUUUUCAAAAACUGGCUCCACAAACUGGACGGGCUAAAGAUGAACCGAACCCAACCCGAGGAAGACCCAUUAUCUGAACCGACUCCGGUUCGCUUUUAUCAUCCACCUCUUUCAACCUUCGUAUUGUUUCUCUGUUUCCCUCUUCCUCAGCAUAUCGAAUACUCAGGGAAGGCUGGUUGAACUAAGUUCAAGAACUCAACCAACGGUAAUUGAAGGAUAGUUAGGAGCUAUGACGACUGCAGCUCGACCCACAUGGGCACCUGCAAAAGGUGGUAAUGAACAAGGUGGUACUCGAAUUUUUGGUCCUUCUCAGAAGUACUCUUCCAGGGAUCUUGCCUCUCAUACGAACCUAAAGCCUAGAAAGGAAGGGCAAGAUACACAGGAGGAAUUGCAGAAGAGGAAUCUUCGUGAUGAGCUGGAAGAGCGUGAAAGGAGGCAUUUCUCAUCAAAGGAUAAGUCUUACAAUGAUGAUAGAGACCGCAGAAAGAGUAAUCAACUUCUCUUGGAAGGGAUGAAGAGGGACACUGAAGACCGCAUUGUUCCACGUAGUGUGGAUGCUGAUGAUUCUGAUGUGGAAGUUAACAAUGAUGAUGAGAG
rnacentral:misc_RNA from 1 species